ACAACAACCCCCUUUUUCCGUACAAGGCGACUGUUUUGGUGGACAACAUGGUGUGGGAGACAACUCUGCUGACAAGAGACCCCACAAGUCCCAACAUGCAGGAGGCUGAGCAGACUGAACAGAGAGUCUCCCAUCCUAAGCAAGCACAGAGGCAACUGUGG